rnacentral:rRNA from 1 species
GAUGAACGCUGGCGGCGUGCCUAAUACAUGCAAGUCGAGCGAACAGACGAGGAGCUUGCUCCUCUGACGUUAGCGGCGGACGUGUGAGUAACACGUGGAUAACCUACCUAUAAGACUGGGAUAACUUCGGGAAACCGGAGCUAAUACCGGAUAAUAUAUUGAACCGCAUGGUUCAAUAGUGAAAGACGGUUUUGCUGUCACUUAUAGAUGGAUCCGCGCCGCAUUAGCUAGUUGGUAAGGUAACGGCUUACCAAGGCGACGAUGCGUAGCCGACCUGAGAGGGUGACCGGCCACACUGGAACUGAGACACGGUCCAGACUCCUACGGGAGGCAGCAGUAGGGAAUUUUCCGCAAUGGGCGAAAGCCUGACGGAGCAACGCCGCGUGAGUGAUGAAGGUCUUCGGAUCGUAAACCUCUGUUAUUAGGGAAGAACAAAUGUGUAAGUAACUAUGCACGUCUUGACGGUACCUAAUCAGAAAGCCACGGCUAACUACGUG